AGUUGUCCCAACCAGACUCAAAGAAGCAGUAGAAGAAGAUGAUCUACAGGAAAUGGAGUCUACUUACUGGCCCAGCAGCAAUUCUUGGUGGCAUUGUUGGUGCUGUGGUCAUUGCCAACUACAUCUUUGUUGAGAAUAAUCCGUUUCUUAAACCAGAACAGAAGAAGCCCGAUGGAGCAGAAGCAAACAAAUAAAAGAAAGUUGAUGCACAGUUGUCAUUCGAUGUGAUUUAAGGAUCUAUCAUAAAGGCUGUAAGGGUCUGUUCUGUUGAGAAUGUUUGUUAAGCAAACAUAACAUUUGGUUGUUGUUUGAGAUUCUGAAUGAAAAUUUGAGCAAUGGUUGAUUAAGUGUUGAUAUUUCCCCACUCUUAUUUUAUUCAAUACAAAAGGUCUUCAACAUUGACUCUCU